rnacentral:rRNA from 1 species
GAUGAACGCUGGCGGCGUGCUUAACACAUGCAAGUCGAGCGAAGCAUUAAAACAGAUUUCUUCGGAUUGAAGUUCUAAUGACUGAGCGGCGGACGGGUGAGUAACGCGUGGGUGACCUGCCUCAUACAGGGGGAUAACAGACAGAAAUGUCUGCUAAUACCGCAUAAGCGCACAGUGCUGCAUGGCACCGUGUGAAAAACUCCGGUGGUAUGAGAUGGACCCGCGUCUGAUUAGCUAGUUGGUAAGGUAACGGCUUACCAAGGCGACGAUCAGUAGCCGGCCUGAGAGGGUGAACGGCCACAUUGGGACUGAGACACGGCCCAAACUCCUACGGGAGGCAGCAGUGGGGAAUAUUGCACAAUGGGGGAAACCCUGAUGCAGCGACGCCGCGUGAAGGAAGAAGUAUUUCGGUAUGUAAACUUCUAUCAGCAGGGAAGAAAAUGACGGUACCUGACUAAGAAGCCCCGGCUAACUACGUGCCAGCAGCCGCGGUAAUACGUAGGGGGCAA